ACGAUCGCCGGGUGAGUAAUCACCGGGAGGAAAGUCCGAACACCGCAGGACAGGACGCUCCAUAACGUGGAGUCACGGUAACGUGAAGGAAAGUGCAGCAGAGAGUAGACCGCCGAUGGUGCCAUUUUGGCACACAGGCAAGGGUGAAACGGUGCGGUAAGAGCGCACCAGUUCUCCAGGUGACUGGAGAAGCUUGGUAAACCCCGUCCGGUGCAAGACCAAAUAGGGAAACGCUUAAGGGCUGUCCGUCCUAUGUUUCCGGGUAGGUUGCUUGAGGUGUAUGGCAACAUGCACCCUAGAUGAAUGAUCGUUGACCUGGGUUUCGGGUAACCGGCCCGGGUAACAGAAUUCGGCUUACGGGCCGGUCU
rnacentral:RNase_P_RNA from 1 species